UCCUACGGGAGGCAGCAGUGGGGAAUAUUGCACAAUGGGGGAAACCCUGAUGCAGCGACGCCGCGUGAAGGAAGAAGUAUUUCGGUAUGUAAACUUCUAUCAGCAGGGAAGAAAAUGACGGUACCUGACUAAGAAGCCCCGGCUAACUACGUGCCAGCAGCCGCGGUAAUACGUAGGGGGCAAGCGUUAUCCGGAUUUACUGGGUGUAAAGGGAGCGUAGACGGCUAUGCAAGUCUGGAGUGAAAGGCGGGGGCCCAACCCCCGGACUGCUCUGGAAACUGUAGAGCUAGAGUGCAGGAGAGGUA
rnacentral:rRNA from 1 species